rnacentral:ncRNA from 2 species
UAGUGUAAGUCCAUCCUUGGUGCUGCAUCGCGCGGAUUGCGAUGCGGAUAAUUGGGAAGCCGGUCAAAGUCCGGCGCUGCCCCCGCAACGGUAGCGGAGCCAAACCGUCGACAACAGGCCACUGGAUUAUUCCGGGAAGGCGUCGACGAAGUCCGAAAGGACGGCUCCGGAGCCCGGAAACCAGCCUGGGAUGGAACGAAACG